CGGAGGUGCAAGCGUUAUCCGGAUUCACUGGGUUUAAAGGGUGCGUAGGUGGGCAGGUAAGUCAGUGGUGAAAUCUCCGGGCUUAACCCGGAAACUGCCAUUGAUACUAUUUGUCUUGAAUACUGUGGAGGUCAGCGGAAUAUGUCAUGUAGCGGUGAAAUGCUUAGAUAUGACAUAGAACACCAAUUGCGAAGGCAGCUGGCUACACAAAUAUUGACACUGAGGCACGAAAGCGUGGGGAUCAAACAGGAUUAGAUACCCUGGUAGUCCACGCCCUAAACUAUGGAUACUCGACAUUUGCGAUAAACUGCAAGUGUCUGAGCGAAAGCAUUAAGUAUCCCACCUGGGAAGUACGAUCGCAAGAUUG
rnacentral:rRNA from 1 species